CCUACGGGAGGCAGCAGUGGGGAAUUUUGGACAAUGGGCGCAAGCCUGAUCCAGCAAUGCCGCGUGAGUGAAGAAGGCCUUCGGGUUGUAAAGCUCUUUUGUCAGGGAAGAAACGGUGGGGGCUAAUAUCUCCUACUAAUGACGGUACCUGAAGAAUAAGCACCGGCUAACUACGUGCCAGCAGCCGCGGUAAUACGUAGGGUGCAAGCGUUAAUCGGAAUUACUGGGCGUAAAGCGUGCGCAGGCGGUUUUGUAAGUCUGUCGUGAAAGCCCCGGGCUCAACCUGGGAAUUGCGAUGGAGACUGCAAGGCUUGAAUCUGGCAGAGGGGGGUAGAAUUCCACGUGUAGCAGUGAAAUGCGUAGAGAUGUGGAGGAACACCGAUGGCGAAGGCAGCCCCCUGGGUCAAGAUUGACGCUCAUGCACGAAAGCGUGGGGAGCAAACAGGAUUAGAUACCCUGGUAGUCCACGCCCUAAACGAUGUCUACUAGUUGUCGGGUUUUAAUUAACUUGGUAACGCAGCUAACGCGUGAAGUAGACCGCCUGGGGAGUCGGUCGCAAGAUUAAAACUCAAGAGAGUGCGNGNGAGAGNGACGAGACGACGACGAGGAG
rnacentral:rRNA from 1 species